rnacentral:rRNA from 1 species
GGUCAAGUAAAAAAGAGCAUAUGGCGGAUGCCUAGGCGCCAAGAGUCGAAGAAGGACGUAGCCAGCAACGAUAAGCUGUGGGGAGCUGCAAGCAAGCGUUAAAUCCACAGAUUUCCGAAUGGGGAAACCCAGUGGGUAGAAGGCCCACUACCGCUAAGUGAACAAAAUAGCUUAGUAGGAGGCAACCAGGAGAACUGAACCAUCUAAGUAUCCUGAGGAAGAGAAAGAAACAUCGAUUCCCUGAGUAGCGGCGAGCGGAAGGGGAAGAGCCCAAACCAAGUACUUGUACUUGGGGUUGAGGACUCCAAUAAUCGAGUGGAAUCUAAUUGAAUGGGAAGGGAAGCCCAGCCGUAGAGCGUGAUAGCCGCGUAAAUGAAAGAGGAAGCAAGAGUGGAGUAUCCAGAGUAGUGCAGGACACGUGAAACCCUGUAUGAAGCAGGGGGACCACCCCCCAAGGCUAAAUACUCCUUGGCGACCGAUAGUGAAGCAGUACCGUGAGGGAAAGGUGAAAAGCACCCCGGGAGGGGAGUGAAAUAGAACCUGAAACCAUAUGCUUACAAUGAAUUCGAGCACUACGGUGUGAGAGUGUACUUUUUGUAGAACGGACCGGCGAGUUACCAUGAAUAGCAAGGUUAAGGAAUAAAGUUCUGGAGCCGCAGCGAAAGCGAGUCUGAAUAGGGCGAAUAGAGUUAUUGGUGGUAGACCCGAAACCGCGUGAUCUACGCAUGGCCAGAGUGAAGCGUAUGUAAGAGUACGUGGAGGCUCGAACCCACUGAAGUUGAAAAUUCAGGGGAUGAGUUGUGUGUAGGGGUGAAAUGCCAAUCGAACGCGGAGAUAGCUGGUACUCUCCGAAAUAGCUUUAGGGCUAGCCUCAAUCGGUGAGUCAGGGGCGUAGAGCACUGAUGGAAUAAGGGGACUUCACCGUCUACCAACUUCUGUCAAACUCCGAAGUCCAACUGACUUUAGAUUGGGAGUCAGACUGCGAAUGAUAAGAUCCGUAGUCGAGAGGGAAACAACCCAGACCACCUGCUAAGGUCCCCAAGUCAUAACUAAGUGGAGAAGGAGGUGGGAUUGCAUAGACAACCAGGAUGUUGGCUUAGAAGCAGCCAUACAUUUAAAGAGUGCGUAAUAGCUCACUGGUCAAGUGAUCCUGCGCCGAAAAUGAACGGGGCUAAAGUUAUGCACCGAAGCAGUGGCUAGAUAGUAAUAUCUGGGGUAGGAGAGCAUUGCAUGGGCGGAGAAGCUGUGCUGUAAGGCAUGGUGGAGCGCAUGGAAGAGAGAAUGCCGGUAUGAGUAGCGAGAAGGAAAGUGAGAAUCUUUCCCGUCGAAAGCCCAAGGUUUCCUGAGGAAGGCUCGUCCACUCAGGGUAAGUCGGGGCCUAAGCCGAGGCCGAAAGGCGUAGGCGAUGGAUAACUAGUUGAGAUUCUAGUACCACCUAAUAUUGCUUGAGUGAAGCAAUGACACAGGAAGGUAGGGACCGCGCACUGUUGGAGGUGCGUCCAAAUGUGUAGGCAGUGAUUGCAGGUAAGUCCGCAGUUACAUAUGCUGAGGCAUGAUGGGGAGCGAAAUGAAGUAGCGAACGGCCUGAUCCUACGCUGUCGAGAAAAGUUGCUAGCGAGAUAGAAGGUGCCCGUACCGUAAACCGACACAGGUAGGCAAGGAGAGAAUCCUAAGACGCGCAGGAGAACCCCUGUUAAGGAACUCGGCAAAAUGACUCCGUAACUUCGGGAGAAGGAGUGCUCUAAUAUUGUGAAGUUCCUUGCGAAUGGAGCAAGAAAGAGUUGCAGAUGAGAGGCUCAAGCGACUGUUUACCAAAAACACAGGUCUCUGCUAAAGCGAAAGCUGAAGUAUAGGGGCUGACGCCUGCCCGGUGCUGGAAGGUUAAGGGGAAGUGUUAGCGUAAGCGAAGCACAGAACUGAAGCCCCAGUGAACGGCGGCCGUAACUAUAACGGUCCUAAGGUAGCGAAAUUCCUUGUCGGGUAAGUUCCGACCCGCACGAAAGGCGUAACGGUUUGAGCGCUGUCUCAACAGGGGGCCUGGUGAAAUUGCAAUGCACGUGAAGAUGCGUGCUACCCGCGACUGGACAGAAAGACCCCGUGAAGCUUUACUACAGCUUGAUAUUGGGUUUCGGUACUACAUGUACAGGAUAGGUGGGAGACUGUGAAGCUAGGACGUCAGUCUUAGUGGAGUCAAUGUUGGGAUACCACCCUUGUAGUGCUGAAAUUCUAACCCGUGUCCGUAAGCCGGGCAGGGGACAGUGUCAGGUGGGUAGUUUGACUGGGGCGGUCGCCUCCUAAAGAGUAACGGAGGCGCUCCAAGGUUCCCUCAGCGCGGAUGGAAAUCGCGCGAAGAGUGCAAAGGCAUAAGGGAGCUUGACUGUAAGACAUACAGGUCGAGCAGGAACGAAAGUUGGACUUAGUGAUCCGGCGGUACCGAGUGGAAGGGCCGUCGCUAAACGGAUAAAAGCUACUCCGGGGAUAACAGGCUUAUCUCGCCCAAGAGUCCAUAUCGACGGCGAGGUUUGGCACCUCGAUGUCGGCUCAUCACAUCCUGGAGCUGAAGCAGGUUCCAAGGGUUGGGCUGUUCGCCCAUUAAAGUGGUACGUGAGCUGGGUUCAGAACGUCGUGAGACAGUUCGGUCCAUAUCCGUCGCGGGCGUAGGAAAAUUGAAGAGAGCUGUCCCUAGUACGAGAGGACCGGGAUGGACGAACCGCUGGUGUAUCAGUUGUCUCGCCAGAGGCACCGCUGAGUAGCUAAGUUCGGAAGGGAUAAACGCUGAAAGCAUCUAAGCGUGAAGCCUCCUUUAAGACUAGUUUUCCCACCGAAAGGGUAAGGCACCAUGAAGAAGACGUGGUAGAUAGGCCAGAGGUGUAAGUGUGGCGACACAUUCAGCUGACUGGUACUAAUAAGCCGAGGACUUGACCUC